UUUUGUGUGUUUUUGUUUGUUUUAUGACUUGGUGCUGUACAGUGUAUUUUAGGUCUGGAAAAGGUGUAAGUUGGCAGCACUUUUUUACUGUUCCUGGCUCACAACUAUUUGAAGUUAUGUUUUGAUCUCACAAAAAACAUGACAACAAAUACGGGCUCGCAAAAGUUGGAUUUCUAAAAGUUUUAAAAAAUGGACAUUUUUGCAAACCGGAUGCAGGAGCACCGCAGAAAAUUGAAAGAGGACCCAGCUGCCUAUAAAGCCCACCUGGCUAAAGAAAGGCUGAGAGACAAGAUUAGGAAACAGCGAAGAAGAGAAUAUUUAAAAAAUCAUCCAUCAGAUGCGGAGGCUGUUAAGAAGAAAGAUGCAGAACGGAAGCGCCGCAAAAGAGCAGAACAGAAAAUUUUUUUCAUUUUUUUUUUGUUUUUUAUUGCCUUAAAUGCAAUUCUUUUUUUUGGUUAUUUGUCUACUACGUUUAAGAUAAAAUUUCAACCUCUGUUCACAAUUUUCACUAUUUAUAUUGACAAUUUUAUUCAAGCGACAACCACUAAAAAGUUUUAAAACUUUUGAAUCCACCGUUUACGUUUCGAAACAAAAUUUAAAAACACUCAAGUUUUUCUGUUCCGCCCACUCCAUUUAUUCCUAUAUUUGUUUAGACAUAGUAUAACUUCUCAUUUAUUUGAUACUCACACCGUGCCAUUGAAGUAUUACUAUUAUUAUUAUUAUUUUUGGUACUAGUUACUAUUUAUUUUUCCUCGAGCUUUUGUUUCUUUAUUAUUAUUUUCUUUGAUGUUUCUGCCAGUAAAACAUUAAUAAAGUUCAAAUUUUGAUUUAAAAGAAA